GCAAGUCGACUGGAAUUCUUCUUCGGAAGAUAGUACGGUGGCGGACGGGUGAGUAACGCGUAAAGAAUUUGCCCUUCAGACUGGGACAACUAACCGAAAGGUUAGCUAAUACCGGAUAUUAUGAGACCUUGGCAUCAAGGACUUAUGAAAGCUAUAUGCGCUGAAGGAGAACUUUGCGUCCCAUUAGGUAGUUGGUAGGGUAAUGGCCUACCAAGCCGACGAUGGGUAGCGGGGUCGAGAGGCUGAAC
rnacentral:rRNA from 1 species